AUCGAACGCUGGCGGCAGGCCUAACACAUGCAAGUCGGGCGUGGGGCGGACGGGUGAGUAAUGGAUGGAGAACUGCCUGAUGGAGGGGGAUAACUACUGGAAACGGUAGCUAAUACCGCAUACCAUCAGAGGAACACAUAGGGGAUUAGGUUGUUGGUAAGGUAACGGCUUACCUAGGCGACGAUCACUAGCUGGUAUGAGAGGAUGAUCAGCCACACUGGGACUGAGACACGGCCCAAACUCCUACGGGAGGCAGCAGUGGGGAAUGUUGCACAAUGGACGCAAGCCUGAUGCAGCCAUGCCGCGUGUGUGAAGAAGGUCUUCGGAUUGUAAAGUUCUUUCAGUCGGGAGGCGUUACCGACAGAAGAAGCACCGGCUAACUCCGUGCCAGCAGCCGCGGUAAUUC
rnacentral:rRNA from 1 species